rnacentral:rRNA from 1 species
CCUACGGGAGGCAGCAGUGGGGAAUUUUGGACAAUGGGGGAAACCCUGAUCCAGCAAUGCCGCGUGUGUGAAGAAGGCCUUCGGGUUGUAAAGCACUUUUAUUCGGAGAGAAAUCCCUUGGGCUAAUACCCUGAGGGUCUGACGGUACCGGAUGAAUAAGCGCCGGCUAACUACGUGCCAGCAGCCGCGGUAAUACGUAGGGCGCGAGCGUUAAUCGGAAUUACUGGGCGUAAAGCGUGCGCAGGCGGUUUUAGUAAGACAGAUGUGAAAGCCCCGGGCUCAACCUGGGAAUUGCAUUUGUGACUGCAAGGCUAGAGUGUGUCAGAGGGAGGUGGAAUUCCGCGUGUAGCAGUGAAAUGCGUAGAGAUGCGGAGGAACACCGAUGGCGAAGGCAGCCUCCUGGGAUAACACUGACGCUCAUGCACGAAAGCGUGGGGAGCAAACAGGAUUAGAUACCCUGGUAGUCCACGCCCUAAACGAUGUCAACUAGUUGUCGGGAAUUAAAUUUCUUGGUAACCGNAGCUAACGNGUGAGUUGACCGCGUGGGGAGUACGGCCGNGUAAAGGUUAAACCUUNAAAUGAAUUGACGGNUUGNGNGNGCGAGCGACGACGAGGAGAGG